AAAUCAUCUCUCAACCAACAAACAGUCUGGCAUAUACUGAAUUAGUAUCAUCUUUCAACCAACAAACAGUCUGACAUAUACUGAAUAAGCAUCAUCAUCUUUUAACCAACAAACAGUCAGGCAUAUACCUAAUUAGCAUCAUCAUCUUUCAACCAACAAACAGUCUGGCAUAUACCUAAUUAGCAUCAUCAUCUUUCAACCAACAAACAGUCUGGCAUAAACUAAACAAGGAACAUUAUCUCUUAACCAACAAACAGUCUGGCAUAUAUUCCAUUAGCAUUAUCUUCUAUACCAACAAACAGUCUGGGAUGUACUAAAUGACAAUCCUCAUGUCUCAACCAACAAACAGUCUGGUAUAUAUAAAUUCAGCAUCUUCAUCUCUCAACCAACAAACAAUCUGGUACAUACUGAAUUAAUAUCAUCAUCUCUUUACGAACAAACAGUCUGGCACAUACUGAAUUACCAGCCUGGUGGGUACUGAAUCAACAUCAUGAUCUCUUAAGCUAAAAACAGCCUUAUGUGUACUGAACUAGCAUCAUCAUAUCUCCAACUACUGACAGCAUGGUGUGAUUUGAAUCAACAUUAGCACAUCUCAUUAUUAGACAUACUUGUGUGAACUGAAUCAGCCUCCUCAUCUCUCCAUGACAGAUAACCAUGUUUAAAUUUCAUCAGCAUCAUCAUCUCUCAGCCAACAGACAAUCUAGUAUCGACUUAAUAAGCCUACACAUCUCUCCACCAACAGACAGCCUGGUCUAAACUGGAACAGUCUUUUAAUCUAAAAACUAACAGCCAGCCUGGUCUGUACGGAAUCAGCAUCCUCAUCGCUCCAUUUACAGAUAGCCUGGUGUGUACUGAUACAGACCUCCAUAUCUCGUGAUCAACAGAUAUCAUGGUUUGUACUGAAACAGCUUUUCAUCUAUCAACCAACAAACAACCUGGUGUGUUAUUAAUCAGCAUCAUCAUCCCUCCACCAACAGAAAAACAGCUGAAGCCAACAAGAAUUGACUUUUAGAAAUGAUGUUUGUGCCAUAUGAUAAGUAACAACUACUUAAGUUUAGUUGUGACCUGCAGCAGAUAUUUUAGUCAAUAUUUCACCAUUGUAAAGCCCUGCAGCUGAAGAGUCUCCGAAAAUGCUAAGUAUUUUACUGCUU